rnacentral:rRNA from 1 species
GUCUACAGCCUUACCACCCUGAAGGCGCCUGAUCUCAUCUGAUCUCGGAAGCUAAGCAGGCUGGGGCCUCGUUAGCACUUGGAUGGGAGACGGCCUGGGAAAAUAUGAUUUCAAUGACU